rnacentral:rRNA from 1 species
UGGGGAAUAUUGGACAAUGGGCGAAAGCCUGAUCCAGCCAUGCCGCGUGUGUGAAGAAGGUCUUCGGAUUGUAAAGCACUUUAAGUUGGGAGGAAGGGCAGUAAGCGAAUACCUUGCUGUUUUGACGUUACCGACAGAAUAAGCACCGGCUAACUCUGUGCCAGCAGCCGCGGUAAUACAGAGGGUGCAAGCGUUAAUCGGAAUUACUGGGCGUAAAGCGCGCGUAGGUGGUUCGUUAAGUUGAAUGUGAAAGCCCCGGGCCAAACCUGGGAACUGCAUCCAAAACUGGCGAGCUAGAGUAGGGCAGAGGGUAGUGGAAUUUCCUGUGUAGCGGUGAAAUGCGUAGAUAUAGGAAGGAACACCAGUGGCGAAGGCGACCACCUGGGCUCAUACUGACACUGAGGUGCGAAAGCGUGGGGAGCAAACAGG